rnacentral:rRNA from 1 species
CGUAUAUUAAAGUUGUUGCGUUUAAAACGCCCGUAGUUGAGCCUCGCCGGGUGCUCACGGCGUCAUGCGCGGUGUGUGCUUUUUGGUGCCCUGGGGUGGGUUAUUUUAACUAAUAACGCGACUCGGGGUAUUCUUUUAAGUAUCGUCGCGUUGCGUCGUGGUUGUUUGCACCCGGUGCGUGGCCGGGGGGGGCUAAACACCCCCCCCGACACGCCGUUACCAUAAAGAAAUUGGAGUGUUCCAGGCAGGCGCACUGCGCCCUUGCACAGUCCAGUAUGGGAUAACAGCGGAUGACUUGCGCCCGUUUGUUGGUUUCCCCUGGGCAGUGGAGUAAUGGUUGAUAGGGGCGGUCGGGGGCAUUAGUACUGGGGCGGGAAAGGUUAAAUUUGAUGAUCGCCCCAAGACUGCCGAGGGCGAAAGCGCUUGCCAAGGACGCUUUCGUUGAUCAAGGACGAAAGCUGGGGGAGAGAAGGAGAUCAGACACCUCCGUAUUCCCAGCCGUAAACGAUGCCGACCAGGGCCCGGGGGCACACCUUCGUUGCUUUGGUGGCCCCCGGGACCUCGCGAGAAAUCCGAGUAUUCAGGUUACGGGGGGAGUAUGGUCGCAAGGCAGAAACUUAAAGGAAUUGACGGAAGGGCACCACAAUUGGCGUGGAGCCUGCGGCUUAAUU